GGCUCAGAUUGAACGCUGGCGGCAUGCUUUACACAUGCAAGUCGAACGGCAGCAUGACCUAGCUUGCUAGGUUGAUGGCGAGUGGCGAACGGGUGAGUAAUGCACCGGAACGUACCCAGUAAUGGGGGAUAACGCACCGAAAGGUGUGCUAAUACCGCAUACGCCCUGAGGGGGAAAGCGGGGGAUCGUAAGACCUCGCGUUAUUGGAGCGGCCGAUGCCGGAUUAGCUAGUUGGUGGGGUAAAGGCCCACCAAGGCGACGAUCCGUAGCUGGUCUGAGAGGACGACCAGCCACACUGGGACUGAGACACGGCCCAGACUCCUACGGGAGGCAGCAGUGGGGAAUUUUGGACAAUGGGCGCAAGCCUGAUCCAGCCAUGCCGCGUGAGUGAAGAAGGCCUUCGGGUUGUAAAGCUCUUUCGCAAGGAAAGAAAACUUACCUGUUAAUACCAGGUGAGGAUGACGGUACCUUGAUAAGAAGCACCGGCUAACUACGUG
rnacentral:rRNA from 1 species